AUUGAACGCUGGCGGCAGGCCUAACACAUGCAAGUCGAACGAGUGGCGGACUGGUGAGUAAUGUCUGGGAAACUGCCUGAUGGAGGGGGCUAACUACUGGAAACGGUAGCUAAUACCGCAUACCAUCGGAUGUGCCCAGAUGGGAUUAUCUAGUAGGUGGGGUAACGGCUCACCUAGGCGACGAUCCCUAGCUGGGCUGAGAGGAUGACCAGCCACACUGGAACGGAGACACGGUCCAGACUCCUACGGGAGGCAGCAGUGGGGAAUAUUGGACAAUUGGCGCAAGCCUGAUACAGCGAUGCCGCGUGUAUGAAGAAGGCCUUCGGGUUGUAAAGUACUUUCAGCGGUGAGGCGUUACCCGCAGAAGAAGCACCGGCUAACUCCGUGCCAGCAGCCGCGGUAAUUC
rnacentral:rRNA from 1 species